AUAGUAAUAGUUAUGAAAAAUUUAUUAUUUUACAUGUAGAGUAAGAAACAGAUAAGUUUUUCUUAAUGAUGCCUAAAAGGGAAAUUGAUUUUCUACCCAACUGUUGAUAGCAGAAACAAUAGAAAGAAGAAGUUUUGCACUAUUUGCACGCCUCCAAAACUACUAUAUUCCCCUGGACUUGACAUACAUUUAGCUGUGAACAAAUUAUCAAAGUUUUGCAUUAUUUGAUAUAUUUUGAUGUUGCAGUUUGACCAGAUCAGGUAUCAUAAAUAUUGCACUAUUCUCCCAUUUGGGCUUUGGUUUAUGUGUUUUGUUUUCUUAUCCAAAUUUUUUUUUUCUACAGACAUAUCUAGGCAAUGUUUCUUCGCCGGUCUGAUAUUUAUGGUUUAAUUUGGGCUCAUAUUAGUAUGUGGGAUUGCGUUAAGAAGGUUUUCGUCAAGCAAAAACUGCACCUUCUACUGUAACUGAUUCUUCUCAGUUCUUAGCAUUUUCCAUCGGGGAAAGGUUUUUGGUCAGUUGUCCAUUGAAGUUAUCUCUGAUUGCCUCAGGUGUUUUCGAGAGGUUUUCUAUAUUUGCCAUAUGAAAGCUAAGUUGCUUCCACCUUAAAUUUCUUCUAAAUUAGUGCCUCCGAUCCUUAGGCGGAAGAUCUCAAUCAGAUUCUCAUGGCUUAUUUUUCUGAAGGUCUAUAAUACUUACGACAGUUCUCCCAAUUUGUUGAUGCUGCCACAAAUACUUCCCUAGAAUCCUGUGUCUUCUAAGACAGGGAGGAUCUAUAUAACUGAAUUUCAACAAUUGAUGAGCAUGCAACUCAAAUGCAUGUGUCUCUCAAUUAGCGAGCGAUGCUAGUGAAUCAUUUAUACAGGCAGAUGAUGCCACCCAAUUCUUGAAUGUCAUUCAUGCUGCAGAGGACGCAGAUGUUUAUCAUGACUCAGUGAAGUAUUUGCUGAUGGUAAGGUAAAAGACUAAGGAGAAUAGACCAAGGUUGACAAUGAACUCAUUUAUGCCUAUGCCUUAUAUGUGGUUACGAAGAUCAUAUGUGCACUAUUGAAAAUGUAUGACUGGGUGAUGUUUCUUUGCCGGAAAACUGGUUGAAGGAUGCUGUGAAGCAAAGGCUGAACCUCCUGCUGUCACAAUUCCUCAUUUAAAGGCCAUGGUUUAUGGUAUAUCUUCCACAUAAAUCGCCCCAUGUACUGAAGCUUAUAAUUUUCAUAAUAUAGUGGAAAUAACAAUGCUUCAUGUAUCUUACAAUUGAGCAGCAAGUUCAGAACUUAUAAUUGGUUAAUGCGGAACUUCUGGUGCACCGAUGAAUAUUAUAUAUGAUACCAUAUGGUUCAAUGAGGAGGUUGCAUUAUCAAUUUGGUUGGAUUGAUACCAAUAUACUAAAUGUAUAAGCAGUUAUGUGAUGUAAUCUAACUUUCGUUAAAUUUUGAAUUAAUGGAUGUGAAGUAAGAGAUUUGUAAUAAAACAAUUUAUUUUUCCCUUUG